rnacentral:lncRNA from 1 species
GAUUUUGCCCCUAAUCGCUCAAUUCUCAUAGGAAGCUGCUGAAUCUGAGAGGAGAAUUUUUUUGUUACUUCGCUCAGCUCUCCGACAUUCUUCUUCUUCCUCUUUCUUUUUUCCUUUGUUUUUAGUGGAUUUCAUAGGUGAAUUUUCGAUUUUCUCUGUUUUAUAGCCAUGUCUAUAUUUCAGUUUUCAAUGUGAAAUUUAGGGAUUUUGUGUUCUCUAUGUCUUGACGUGAAUAGUGAAAGUUAAUUUACCGUAGUUGGCACCUGUAAAUUUAGUCUUGAUCUUUUUGCACCUCUGCCUCUCGCUCUCUCACACACUUAUAUCUGUUACCAAUUUUCUUUGCAAAAAGUUGAUGCAUACUGUUUUCUUGAUCACACCUACGUGCGCUCCUCUUCAAAUGUUCUUUCAUUUUUCUUCUGUUUUAUUUAUUGGCCAUAUCUUUCUAACUCUAAUUUCUCCAACAACUAAUAGUGCAAUUCAUAAUUUGCCCAAACUUCUCAUCUUCUCUAAAUGGGUCUCUUUAGGAUUUUUAGUGCCAACAGUUUGAUGUGAAGUGGGAGUUGGGGUGUACAACACCGCAAUCCUGAGUUGUAUGAAAUGCAUUGUAAAUUAUACUUAAUAUUAGGACAUACAUCAUUGAGAAAUAUUAACACGCCUACUCCAUCUUUAUUUUAUCAAACCAUGUGUCUUAAAUAUUUCUCUCAUUCACCACUCUCUGUAUAUAAUUUUUUUUCCUAUCUCCCCACUUCAAGAAGAGUCAUUUGGGUUUGUUUUGCAGUUCUUCUCGGCUUCUCUUGAUUAAUAUAUUUCAGCUUUCUCCUCUUUUUGAUGUCCAGAUUUGUUUCAUGAAUUCUAUCUAUUUUUUAUUUUACAAUCUUGUGGCUUUGGCUCUUCGGUUAAUUGAUUCUGUACCUGCAUUUGAAGAAGACGACCGAGAGUGAAAGUUAAGUUUCCAUUUCAUAGGCUUCAGAGAGGAUCUAUUAUGAUUGAGCAACUAAAUUCCCACGGCUUUGGGUCUUUCGUUAAGGGAUUCUGCUCAUGCAUAUGCUCACUUGACUAUUUCGUGUGUAACCAGUGCUGUCGUGUGGGGAACAAGUAAGAUUUCCUGCUUGCUUUGGAUAUUGUAUUGGCAAUCUUGGCGUUUUCUCCUUCGUCCUACAUAACCCCUAAUCCUGUAGGUAAAAAAUGAAUUUGUUGAAGGCUAUUAUAGCAUUUUCUUUGUGUUUACAAUACACAUGCAUGUACUCUUUGACGACUAUUUUGUGUCUAUCUCUUAGCAGUAAAUAGUAUUACGA